rnacentral:rRNA from 1 species
UACGUAGGGGGCAAGCGUUGUCCGGAUUCAUUGGGCGUAAAGAGCGUGUAGGCGGCCAGGUAGGUCGGUUGUGAAAACUGGAGGCUCAACCUUCAGAGGUCGACCGAAAACCAUCUGGCUAGAGUCCGGGAGAGGAGAGUGGAAUUCCUGGUGUAGCGGUGAAAUGCGCAGAUAUCAGGAGGAACACCAAUGGCGAAGGCAGAUCUCUGGGCCGUAACUGACGCUGAGGAGCGAAAGCAUGGGGAGCGAACGGG